GAUGAACGCUAGCUACAGGCUUAACACAUGCAAGUCGAGGGGAAACGACAUCGAAAGCUUGCUUUUGAUGGGCGUCGACCGGCGCACGGGUGAGUAACGCGUAUCCAACCUGCCCACCACUUGGGGAUAACCUUGCGAAAGUAAGACUAAUACCCAAUGAUAUCCCACGAAGACAUCUGAAUGGGAUUAAAGAUUUAUCGGUGAUGGAUGGGGAUGCGUCUGAUUAGCUUGUUGGCGGGGUAACGGCCCACCAAGGCAACGAUCAGUAGGGGUUCUGAGAGGAAGGUCCCCCACAUUGGAACUGAGACACGGUCCAAACUCCUACGGGAGGCAGCAGUGAGGAAUAUUGGUCAAUGGGCGAGAGCCUGAACCAGCCAAGUAGCGUGCAGGAAGACGGCCCUAUGGGUGGUAAACUGCUUUUAUAAGGGAAUAAAGUGGGUCACGUGUGACUUUUUGCAGGUACCUUAUGAAUAAGGACCGGCUAAUUCCGUG
rnacentral:rRNA from 1 species